AGGAGAUGCCUCUUCCUUCCCUUCAAUAGUGGGUUAAACCCAGCUGGCACCCUCUGGAACUACGGGAACAAUAUUCUUCAAGAGAAGGUCACUCUACCAAAGCCAGGAGCACAGUAUUCUCAGGAUCUCAACAAGGAAGAGCAGACCAAGGUUGCUUCUGAUUCCUUACAACCUUCCGUAAUUCCAGGCUUGUGGCCCCAAAUUCAGGGCCCCACCCUUCCAGGAACAAAUCAUUAUAGUAAUAAUUUGCCUUCAUCUUCCAUAUACCAACUAAGCAUGUUUAACUACGAACGUCCAAAACACUUCAUCCAGUCCCAAAACCCAUGUGGCUCCAGAUUGCAGCCUCCUGGACCAGAAACCUCCAGCUUCUCUAGCCAGACCAAACAGUCUUCCAUUAUCAUCCAGCCCCGCCAGUGUACAGAGCAAAGAUUUUCUGCCUCCUCAACACUGAGCUCUCACAUCAC
rnacentral:lncRNA from 1 species